rnacentral:rRNA from 1 species
UACGUAGGGGGGGAGCGUUGUCCGGAUUUAUUGGGCGUAAAGAGCUCGUAGGCGGUUCGAUAAGUCGGACGUGAAAUCUCCACGCUCAACGUGGAGGGGCCGUUCGAUACUGUCGUGACUCGAGUCCGGUAGGGGAGUGUGGAAUUCCCGGUGUAGCGGUGAAAUGCGCAGAGAUCGGGAGGAACACCCGUAGCGAAGGCGGCACUCUGGGCCGGUACUGACGCUGAGGAGCGAAAGCGUGGGGAGCAAACAGG